GACAGAGGGUGCAAACGUUGUUCGGAAUCACUGGGCAUAAAGCGCACGUAGGCGGUCCACUAAGUCAGGUGUGAAAGCCCCCGGCUCAACCGGGGAAUUGCACUUGAUACUGGUGGGCUCGAGGAUGAGAUGGGUAGGCGGAACUCCAGGUGGAGCGGUGAAAUGCGUAGAUAUCUGGAGGAACACCGGUGGCGAAAGCGGCCUACUGGACCAUCACUGACGCUGAGGUGCGAAAGCUAGGGUAGCAAACGGGAUUAGAUACCCCGGUAGUCCUAGCCGUAAACGAUGGGCACUGGGUAGGGGAAGUACCUAUGUCUUCCUCUGCCGGAGCUAAUGUGUUAAGUGCCCCGCCUGGGGAGUACGCUCGCAAGGGUAAA
rnacentral:rRNA from 1 species